rnacentral:rRNA from 1 species
CAGCGCCACGAGUGGCAACCGUAUUUAUUGGGCCUAAAGCGUCCGUAGCCGGUUUGGUAAGUCUUUUGUGAAAUCGUUGGGCUUAACUUAACGAUGUGCAUGAGAUACUGCCAAACUAGGAACUGGUAAGGGUCAGAGGUAUUCUGGGGGGAGCGGUAAAAUGCUAUAAUCCUCGGAGGACCGCCUGUGGCGAAAGCGUCUGACUAGAACAGCUUCGACGGUGAGGGACGAAAGCUAGGGGAGCAAAACGGAUUAGAUACCCGAGUAGUCC